rnacentral:rRNA from 1 species
UGCUCCUACGGGGCGCAGCAGUAGGGAAUCUUCCACAAUGGACGAAAGUCUGAUGGAGCAACGCCGCGUGAGUGAAGAAGGGUUUCGGCUCGUAAAACCCUGUUGUUAGAGAAGAAAGUGCGUGAGAGUAACUGUUCACGUUUCGACGGUAUCUAACCAGAAAGCCACGGCUAACUACGUGCCAGCCGCCGCGGUAAUACGUAGGUGGCAAGCGUUAUCCGGGUUUAUUGGGCGUAAAGGGAACGCAGGCGGUCUUUUAA